CCCAGACUCCUACGGGAGGCAGCAGUGGGGGAUAUUGCACAAUGGGGGGAACCCUGAUGCAGCGACGCCGCGUGGGUGAAGGAGCGUUUCGGCGCGUAAAGCCCUAUCGGCAGGGAAGAAGGAGGACGGUACCUGACUAAGAAGCCCCGGCUAACUACGUGCCAGCAGCCGCGGUAAUACGUAGGGGGCAAGCGUUAUCCGGAUUUACUGGGUGUAAAGGGGGCGCAGACGGCAGCGCAAGCCAGGAGUGAAAGCCCGGGGCCCAACCCCGGGACUGCUCUUGGAACUGCGCGGCUGGAGUGCAGGAGGGGCAGGCGGAAUUCCUGGUGUAGCGGUGAAAUGCGUAGAUAUCAGGAGGAACACCGGUGGCGAAGGCGGCCUGCUGGACUGUGACUGACGUUGAGGCCCGAAGGCGUGGGGAGCAAACAGGAUUAGAUACCCCAGUACC
rnacentral:rRNA from 1 species